UGGGGAAUAUUGGACAAUGGGCGAAAGCCUGAUCCAGCCAUGCCGCGUGUGUGAAGAAGGUAUUCGGAUUGUAAAGCACUUUAAGUUGGGAGGAAGGGUUGUAGAUUAAUACUCUGCAAUUUUGACGUUACCGACAGAAUAAGCACCGGCUAACUCUGUGCCAGCAGCCGCGGUAAUACAGAGGGUGCAAGCGUUAAUCGGAAUUACUGGGCGUAAAGCGCGCGUAGGUGGUUUGUUAAGUUGGAUGUGAAAUCCCCGGGCUCAACCUGGGAACUGCAUUCAAAACUGACUGACUAGAGUAUGGUAGAGGGUGGUGGAAUUUCCUGUGUAGCGGUGAAAUGCGUAGAUAUAGGAAGGAACACCAGUGGCGAAGGCGACCACCUGGACUAAUACUGACACUGAGGUGCGAAAGCGUGGGGAGCAAACAGG
rnacentral:rRNA from 1 species